GCGGGCUGGACCUCUCGGGGUUACAGCCUUGCUGAAUUAUUCACCCUUGUCUUUUGCGUACUUCUUGUUUCCUUGGUGGGUUCGCCCACCACUAGGACAAACAUAAACCUUUUGUAAUUGCAAUCAGCGUCAGUAACAAAUUAAUAAUUACAACUUUCAACAACGGAUCUCUUGGUUCUGGCAUCGAUGAAGAACGCAGCGAAAUGCGAUAAGUAGUGUGAAUUGCAGAAUUCAGUGAAUCAUCGAAUCUUUGAACGCACAUUGCGCCCUUUGGUAUUCCAAAGGGCAUGCCUGUUCGAGCGUCAUUUGUACCCUCAAGCUUUGCUUGGUGUUGGGCGUCUUGUCUCUAGCUUUGCUGGAGACUCGCCUUAAAGUAAUUGGCAGCCGGCCUACUGGUUUCGGAGCGCAGCACAAGUCGCACUCUCUAUCAGCAAAGGUCUAGCAUCCAUUAAGCCUUUUUUUCAACUUUUGACCUCGGAUCAGGUAGGGAUACCCGCUGAACUUAAGCAUAUCAAUAAGC
rnacentral:rRNA from 1 species